rnacentral:rRNA from 1 species
CUCCAGACUCCUACGGGAGGCAGCAGUGGGGAAUAUUGCACAAUGGGGGAAACCCUGAUGCAGCGACGCCGCGUGAGCGAUGAAGUAUUUCGGUAUGUAAAGCUCUAUCAGCAGGGAAGAAAAUGACGGUACCUGACUAAGAAGCCCCGGCUAACUACGUGCCAGCAGCCGCGGUAAUACGUAGGGGGCAAGCGUUAUCCGGAUUUACUGGGUGUAAAGGGAGCGUAGACGGCUGUGCAAGCCAGAUGUGAAAGCCCGGGGCUCAACCCCGGGACUGCAUUUGGAACUGUGUGGCUGGAGUGUCGGAGAGGCAGGCGGAAUUCCUAGUGUAGCGGUGAAAUGCGUAGAUAUUAGGAGGAACACCAGUGGCGAAGGCGGCCUGCUGGACGAUGACUGACGUUGAGGCUCGAAAGCGUGGGGAGCAAACAGGAUUAGAUACCCGCGUAUU